CCCUUCCUCUUUUCUUUUCUCUUCUAUUUUUCUUCUCCCUUUCUUCUUUCUUCUUCAUUUCUUCUUCUUCUUCGUCCUUCUGCCGAGUGACCCACAGAGAGAGAAUGAGAGAGGGAAAGAGCGACAGAGAGCGUGAGAUAGAGGGAGACCCGACGGAGAGAGCAAGGGGAGCCGAUUUCCGGCAAGCCCGUGACCCGCAACCCGGUAGAGAAAACCCGGGCGGUUCGAGAACCCGUAACCCGUCCGUGUGAAACACGAACGACCCACCGAACCAGAGACGCUCCAGCGGCCUGAGAAGCGAUUUACGGUGGAUGGAGGCCGUUCUCCUGUGGUUUCCGUCGGUAGUGGACUGCCCAGAACCUCACAAACCCGAGACUUGCGACCCAUGACCCGCUGAACCCGUGUGACCCGAUCUUUCGGUGGUGAAGUCCGGCACGAUUUCCGGCGGCCAGAGCUGAAAUCUGGCGGUCCCAAUAGCGGUUUCCGGCGAGCUGUGACCCGGAUGAGUGCAAAACCCGUGUAAUCCGAAACCCGUGACCCAGUGAUCCACGACCCGAGACCCGUGAAACCCAACCCUCUAGGAAUGGUUUUCCGGCGAAUUCUCCGACGAACCAGAGCCAAUUUCCGGUGAUUUAUCCGGUGGAUUUCUGGGAAUAUCCUCAAAGAUUGUGUUCGGAUUGGGGACUUUAAUUGGUUCUCCAAUGUAGAGUCUAAGUGACUAGAGUCAAGGGAAUGUUUGAGUCAAGAGUCUAAAUGCAGCCAAGAUGUUCCUUUGGCUGCAGGUGCUCCAGUCGUAGGGGAGAGUGUUGUAGAUGUGCACUUUGGAUAAUAUGACCGAAGCUCACCGUGACGGUCGUAAUGGUUGGACCACAAUUGUCCACUAUUUUAUAGGUUUUGUUUAUGGCUUGUGACGCUUUGGUCACUUGUUAUUGUAUAAGCCAUUCAUGUUGUUUAAAUAUUAUGUUGAUAAGACUUAAACAUAUAGAUGUUAAAUGGCUCUGUAUUGUAAAUAAUUUGUAAUAGAUGUAUAAGCUAUGCUUUUCGCUA